rnacentral:rRNA from 1 species
CAGCCGCCGCGGGAAAACGGAGGGUGCAAGCGUUAUCCGGAUUUAUUGGGCGUAAAGCGUGCGUAGGCGGCUUCUUAAGUCGGAUGUGAAAUCCCUGAGCUUAACUUAGGAAUUGCAUUCGAUACUGGGAAGCUAGAGUAUGGGAGAGGAUGGUAGAAUUCCAGGUGUAGCGGUGAAAUGCGUAGAGAUCUGGAGGAAUACCGAUGGCGAAGGCAGCCAUCUGGCCUAAUACUGACGCUGAGGUACGAAAGCAUGGGGAGCAAACAGGAUUAGAUACCCCCGUAGUCCCUGUCUCUUAUAC